GACGGAGGUUGCAAGCGUUAUCCGGAUUUAUUGGGUUUAAAGGGUGCGUAGGCGGGCUUAUAAGUCAGCGGUGAAAGACUGUCGCUUAACGAUAGCAUUGCCGUUGAUACUGUAGGCCUUGAGUAUAUUUGAGGUGGCGGAAUGAGUAGUGUAGCGGUGAAAUGCUUAGAUAUUGCUCAGAACACCAAUUGCGAAGGCAGCUCACUAAACUAUAACUGACGCUGAGGCACGAAAGCGUGGGGAUCAAACAGG
rnacentral:rRNA from 1 species